AGCUGCUGAGUCUGACCAUGGUCUCUACUGGUGUCAGGGAGAGAUCCAGUCCAGAUCCAUAUCAUCAAKCAUCAGUGAUCCUGUCACUAUCACUGUGAAAGCUCUGCCCACGGCCUCAGUGAAAGCCUCUCCACGCGGUCCCCUCUAUUCUGGAGAGACAGUAACUCUGACGUGUUCAAUGGGGUCUGACAGUGGCUGGAGGUAUACAUGGCAAGGA